AAGACCCACAGGAAAUUACAUACAGAAAGCACUACAAGAAGCAUUUGAAAUCACCUGGGUUUAUUAAAUGCUUGCAGAAAAGUAUGAAUGCACAGAAUAUCAUGCAUUCACAGAAAAGUGUGCAUGCACAGAAGAAAAAUAAUACAAACAAAAAAAUUUCAUGCUUAAUUCUGGGUAAAAAAAGUUUUCUGAUCCCCUAGAAUUGAAAGGGAACAAGUGCUAGCAAGCAGUGAUUAUAUUUUCACCACUGCCAGCAAGGACAGAACUUGGUUGCUCAUUGCAAACAAAAGCAAUGGACAAGGGUGCAUGUGGAUGCUGAGGAACUCACCUCCACAUCAUAGAGUACUUUGAACUGGGAGAGCAGUGUUGCACUGUCAAGAGCAUGUAAACAGGCUGUGAGGUCAGGAUUUUCAGAAUUAUUUACAAAGUGCUGAGCUUGUACCUUCUGAGGGGGAGAUCCCCUAAGAUGCCAUUUGGCAGGAUCUUCUAGGAAGGUGAAGCAUCUCAUUUUCCUCAUCAGCAACCCCAAAAUCUAGAGAUGCUUACUUGCUAGAAUCAGUGUGUCCCUCAGAGGAGGAAAUGAGCUGGGUGCCAGAUUUUUCCAUGCUGUGUUUUUGACAUUACCUACAAAUCCCACAGUGUGCCUUGCUUCCAGGAACUGCCAAGCACUUUCCAAGGAAAUAGGAUACAUAAUCCCUGGAGAGGUAGAACAGGAGCUACUUUAACCCCUCUAUUGAUGCUGGGCUACUGUCAACCCAAGAUCAUGAAUGUCACAAGGCCAGAGUGCAAGAAUAAGCAUGACCUGUGACCCAGAUUCCAGAUCAUCUAGUUCCAUAUAAUUUGUGGCUGGUCAGAGGAAGACUAUAGCAAAGUUGAGACACAAAUCCUCCUGAAUCAUAGAAAAGUUCACCACCCUCAUUGUAAAAAACUUCUUCUUUAUAUCUAAUCUGAAGUGAUCCUCUUUUCUAUGAAUACUUAUAGUUAAAUAUAGAGGGGAAGAAAGAAGAAUAUCAGUCUGGGAAGAAAGAGGCCAAACAAGUUGACAUUACAAUUAUUUUAAAGCAAGCAAAGCAGAAUGGCUAAAUUAUUUAAAAAUUCAAAAUAAAGAAGUGAUGACCACAUUUGACAGGUAUUUAGGUACAAAAAUUACUCCCUUCCUUGGAAACUCCAAAUGACACAGAAAAAAUCCUCUCCACAUUAGCUUCCUGGCUCAGGAGUCCCUACAGCCCCACCUCCUCUUUCAGUGGCCAUCUCUGUUAUCUCUAUUUUUCUUCUCCUCUCUUCUUAGCCUGCUACUCUUUUUGGCCUCAGUUUCCUUGUAGAAACUCUUGCAACCAUGUUGUACCAGACCUCUUUGUGUCUGGGAUGUCCACAUCCUUUGGCCAAAGACUGAGAUGGAAUGGAUUUCACAUCCUCCUGACAGCAUGUGUGCAACAGCACAGAGGUCAGAGCAGCCCUGGCACACCACGCUGAUGAUAACAGGUUCUGCCUUGCCAAACUUUAGGGCUGGAGCAGCAGGGAAGUUUAAUCUUUGCUGAAAGCUUUAUUUGGCCCUAGGAUGGCACCAAGAAGUACCACUCUUACUCUGCACUUCCUGGCCUGUUCCUGCAGCUGUGGAGUGCACAGGGAGCAUCUGCAGAAACAGUCUGGUUGCAGUCAGCGUGACUCCCUGGGGAAUAAAGGGUUGCAAGACUGAGUCUGGCUGGUGCCUACACAUCCAUGUGUGGAGCAACUCUAUGAGGAUUUGCAGGAGUUGUGAAAUAAAGCUGGCACCUCUUC